rnacentral:pre_miRNA from 14 species
UGGCUUUGCUUGGCUUUGCUUUGCAUUGUGUAUGGCACUAUAGAAUUCACUGCCGAUCAAGCUCUCUGUCCAGUGGAAUCAAUGGUGCCAUGCACAAAGCUAAGAGCUUUACAUCCCUGCAAUA